GCAUCAAUGGGGUAGUGGUAACCUGGGUCGUUGCCAUUUGGUGUAUAGACACAAGUAGUAAAUUCAUCGACCCGCCGGGGGUUCAAUUCCCCCUUGAUGCA